rnacentral:rRNA from 1 species
AGAAACGGCUACCACAUCCAAGGAAGGCAGCAGGCGCGCAAAUUACCCAAUCCCGACACGGGGAGGUAGUGACAAUAAAUACUGAUACGGGGCUCUUUUGGGUCUCGUAAUUGGGAUGAGUACGAUCUGGAUCCCUUAACGAGGAACAAUUGGAGGGCAAGUCUGGUGCCAGCAGCCGCGGUAAUUCCAGCUCCAAUAGCGUAUAUUAAAGUUGUUGCAGUUAAAAAGCUCGUAGUUGAACCUUGGGUCUGGCUGGCCGGUCCGCCUCACCGCGAGUACUGGUCCGGCUGGACCUUUCCUUCUGGGGAAUCUCAUGGCCUUCACUGGCUGUGGGGGGAACCAGGACUUUUACUGUGAAAAAAUUAGAGUGUUCAAAGCAGGCCUUUGCUCGAAUACAUUAGCAUGGAAUAAUAGAAUAGGACGUGCGGUUCUAUUUUGUUGGUUUCUAGGACCGCCGUAAUGAUUAAUAGGGAUAGUCGGGGGCGUCAGUAUUCAGCUGUCAGAGGUGAAAUUCUUGGAUUUGCUGAAGACU